GGAGAGAUGACUGAGAGGCCGAAAGUACCGCAUUGCUAAUGCGGCGAACUCGUAAGGGUUCCGAGGGUUCGAAUCCCUCUCUCUCCG